GACGAACGCUGGCGGCGUGCUUAACACAUGCAAGUCGAACGGUAAGGCCCUUUCGGGGGUACACGAGUGGCGAACGGGUGAGUAACACGUGAGUAACCUGCCCACAACUUUGGGAUAACGCUAUUAAACUGGUGCUAAUACUUGAUAUGUGCUCCUGCUGCCUGGUGGGGGUUGGAAAGCUCCGGGGGUUGGGGAUGGACUCGCGGCCUAUCAGCCUGUUGGUGGGGUAGUGGCCUACCAAGGCGGCGACGGGUAGCCGGCCUGAGAGGGUGACCGGCCAAAAUGGGACUGAGAUACGGCCCAGACCCCUACGGGAGGGAAGAGUGGGGAAUAUUGCACAAUGGGCGCAAGCCCGAUGCAGCAACGCCGCGUGCGGGAUGAAGGCCUUCGGGUUGUAAACCGCUUUCCGCAGGGACGAAGCUGUUUGUGACGGUACCUGCAGAAGAAGCACCGGCUAACUACGUG
rnacentral:rRNA from 1 species